rnacentral:rRNA from 1 species
CUACGGGCUGCACCAGUGAGGAAUAUUGCACAAUGGGGGGAACCCUGAUGUAGCAACGCCGCGUGGAGGAUGACGCAUUUCGGUGUGUAAACUCCUUUUAUAUGUCAAGAAAAUGACGGUAGCAUAUGAAUAAGCACCGGCUAACUCCGUGCCAGCAGCCGCAGUAAUACGGAGGGUGCAAGCGUUACUCGGAAUCACUGGGCGUAAAGGACGCGUAGGCGGGUUGGAAAGUCAGGUGUGAAAUCCUACAGCUUAACUGUAGAACUGCACUUGAAACUUCUAAUCUAGAGGAUGGGAGGGGGAGAUGGAAUUAGUGGUGUAGGGGUAAAAUCCGUAGAUAUCACUAGGAAUACCUAAAGCGAAGGCGAUUUCCUGGAACAUUACUGACGCUAAGGCGUGAAAGCGUGGGGAGCAAACAGGAUUAGAUACCCUCGUAGUC